AAAUUAGCAGAUCAUCUCUAAACAAUAUGAAAGCAGCCAGCAACACAUCAGUUAGAGUUUAAGCAACUGAGCAAAGUUGAAUCAACUUGGAGCAUGAGGUGUACCAUUUUAUUGUUUGUUUCUCUGUUCUGUGGCCUUAUUUUGGCCCAAGAUGGUGGUAAUCCUCCUGAAACAGAAAUAACUAGUGAAACACAGUCAUGCUUCCCUCACAAGUGUGAUCUCCUGAAAGAGUUUGGUGCCCUGAGAGAAAAACUGGGAGUUAUGGAAACCAGGCUGAAGGAUAGUGAAAACCAGAUCCUUGAACUGAAGAAAAAAGAAACAACUAAGGUAGCAUUCAGUGCAGCGAUAGGUGGGAAUGGACAACAAAUUGGACCCUUCAACACAGACACAACUUUAAUCUACAAAACGGUGAUAACAAACAUUGGCAAUGCCUACAACGAACAUACUGGUAUCUUCGCUGCGCCCGUCCCAGGACUUUACUACUUCACCUUUUAUUAUCAUGCCGGAGGAUCACACCCAGUGAGUCUAGUCCUCAUCAAGAACAGCCAGAGUGUUGUGACAGCCUAUGAUCACCAAACACUGAGUGACGGGGCUGAUAACGGAGGCAACGCAGUGUUCAUGCAGCUGCAGCAAGGGGACCAGGUGUUUGUACGCUUAGGGGCAAAUACUAAUGUGUGGGGAAACAAUGCAAUCACCACCUUCAGCGGUUUUUUGGUCAAUCAGGAUUGAGAAACAUUGAAAAGGAUUCAUUUGUCAUUAUGAUCACAAUUUUAACUGGCUUAACAGAUUGGAUAUCAUACAUAUAUUUCUUUUUUUCUUUAUCGUUUUGUAUCUCUGUUUUAAGUGAUGAAAGUAUUUAAAAUGCUGUAGGUUCAUUUGAACUCAUUCCAAUUAUCACUAAUAAACGACGUGAUAUACUGCAGAU